GCCGGGAUGGUGGAAUCGGCAGACACGGGGGCCUCAAAAGCCCUUGUCCGAAAGGGCGUGCGGGUUCAAGUCCCGCUCCCGGCA
rnacentral:tRNA from 1 species